rnacentral:lncRNA from 1 species
CUCCAUCUUCCUGCUGCUUCAGAUCUAUGAAGUCUGUGUUGUGCUCUGAAUGUCUGGGGUCCUCCCUGCUGGAUCUUCCUGAGCUCUCCUUUGCUUCUCGGUUGUUUGUACCCCGCUUCUCUCUGCACCCCUCGCCGCUCUUCCAAGAAGGAAUGUCCUACACUGCCCGGCACUGGCUGCUGCUGUCACCACGAGAAUGAGCUGUGGUCGGUCAGUGUUGAGGGCACCAAGUCAUCCAUUACCCUUCCCACCCGGAGCAGGGGAGCAGGCGAGGUGGACAGAAACUGCAGAACACAGCGAGGCAGCAAGGGCAGCCUCAGACCCAGGGGUGCUCUGCGAGACCCCACCAUGGUGCCCCACAGCUUGCUGGGGACCCAGUGAGAGUCUAAGACUUGGGAUCACCCUGUCCCUGCUCUGAGAAUCCAUGGGAGCUCCUUGCCUUCUCUGCGGUGCCUUCUCACAGCAACUCCAGCCUCCCUGGGAUUUGGGGAGAACUGUUGCACAGCAUGGGGAAUGGUUGGGGCUGAAUCACAUGAACGAUAACAGGAUGGGCUGCUCCUGACAGUCCAUGAAGAAGCAGAGACUUACAAGAAAAGACACUCAAAUGCAUCUCAGCUUCAGGUCAAUAACCCACUGACACUCAGUGGUGAGUAAGGGUUGGGCUCCAGCUCCCCACCAAGGAUGGCACCCACUAACCCUCCUUGGAAGAACACAGAGCCCUCAUUUGGAAGCCCUGGGAACACAGGCACAGGGAGGCAGGGGGGAGCCCCUUCCUCUUAGUGUGGGGGAGACCACAGCGCCCUUCCUGGUCAACUGCGGAGCCAGAUCUCCUCUCACCCGAGAAAGGAGCCAAGUCCUUAACCUGGCUCCCUAACAUCUCAGGACUGGGUGUUCCACACCAACCAGGCUUCCUCUGUGCGAGCAACACAUGCACUCACCGCAGAGCAAAGGCCCCUUCAACACUGACUGGUAUUGUAACAGAGAAAGAAACCUGCUGGGGAGCUGGCUGGGACUGAGUCCCUGCCCGUUACUCCAUCCCCAAGCCUUCCUGUUGGGCUGCCAUUCCUGA